UGCUGAACGAACACACACAUGCACCAUAUGCACAUUUAAGUUUCCAUGAGACAUGCACAUAAGCUGCUUGUCACUGUCAGCAACACUUCCUUUCCCAGAGAACUUCAGCAUCGCCUCAUGAUUAGCAGCUUUCCCCGAGCCAGCAGAUUCCUGAUCAGUCUUCCCUGAUUUUUUGCUCUGCCUGGGUUUCUCCAACAUUUCACUUCUUCUAGAUUCCCAGGCGAAACUCAGACAACCAGUGUGCAGAGACACAGCCAUGAUGAGCCUGCACAAAUACACCAGAGGACUUGCCUGAUGAAAAUCCACUGAACUCUCUGGGAGGUAUUUCAUCCAUUUGAAGGAGUUUGGCCUCAGACCCCACUGUUGCCAAGAAUAAAAACUACCAGGCUUUCCUGAAACCCUCCCAUCACUGCUGGACAAGAGCUGCAACAUCCUAAUAAGCAAGCUCACUGAAGAGAUUAGUGCAAACUCCCUGAACUGGAUGGAGCUUUUUUAGUUGCUAUUGUUGUUUUAUAGGCAGUACAGAACACCUAGCAUCUCUCUGAGCAUAUGCUGAAUCCCUCAGGAACAGGAGAGCCACUCUAAUUCCUAAAGGCAACAGUGGAUAGGGACCUGAACGUUCCUCUACUGUUCUAUGGAAAAAAUAAAUAGAAUCUCUCACUUAUUUAAGGGUAAAAAUAAAACAGUAUCUCAGUUCUGUGAAUAUCUGAAACAUAUGUAACCACCCUCAGGCAAGAAAUGACAAACAGGUAACAUACAAAAGAAUUUGUUUCACUUAGGACUUUUCAGCAAUUACAAUAAUUAAAAACAUCAGUCACAUCUAAAUUAGGAAGCGUUGGGGGAAUAAGAAAAACCUUUUUCUUCAGAAAAAUGAAGUAAUUCAGCUUUCAUAAUUCUAGCAUAUUACUUGAAACUAUAAUGAGUUGAAGAACAAAAGAACACUAAAAUUCAAUAUAAAUCAACAGGGUUUUUAAAAAUAUCCAUGAUUCCAUCAGCAGCAGAGUGGAGGUGUAGUUUCUUGCCUGAGCUGGUAAAUCAUCAUGGAAAUUCUGCUAGGCUAUUGUAAACAAUGACCCUUUAAUCAUUUUACUGGGUACAUUUCAGCCAUUUCUUUACCCAAGAUUCUGUUGUCUUCUUUUUCUUUUUGUAUUUGUGCAUUAGUACAAAGCCUACAUAAGAAAGCUAUCAUGACAGCAAGAAACAAAAGGAUAAUGAGAAUUUUUUUUAGUAAUCCCUUUUUUUUUUCUUAGAAGGCUUUAAGAAAGAGUACUUAAUUGUCAGUCAUCAUUAUCUACUGUUCUCUUAAAGUCUUUACAUCAUUUAGGCUAAAUUCUGCCACUCUGGGACAUGGGGGCUGAAAUCUAAUCCGUAAUGCUGGUUGCCACUGCCUACUCAGUGUCUCACCAACUCCUAAAAGGAACAAAGUUCCUCCACAGGGACUUGUAAGGAGUACAGAAAACUAUAAUUAUCAAAAAGUUACUAUGUGCAUUUCAGAACAAUCCUGUAAGAGCCAUGUGCUCAAAAUGCAGGAGCACUGAGCAAUCCCUGCCCAGAGAUCUUGGCCAACACAGUGAGCAGCGGGCCCACACGAAGGUGAUGAGCAUUGGCCUCUUUUGGGGCACAGUAACCACAGCAACAGUGUCUGGAAAAGUAAGAAGUGUCUGGGAACUCAUCAGACCAGUCAAUGGCUGGAACUGCCUUCUAUGAGCACCCUGAAAAUAACACCGAGAAUUACUAAACUGGGUAUCAGUUAUGACUUAUCCAGGCACAGUAUUAGUCAUUCUCCAGUGGCUCACCUUUCUGCUGGGUUGGCUUUUUUG